rnacentral:rRNA from 1 species
UUGAACGCUGGCGGCAGGCCUAACACAUGCAAGUCGAGCGGCAGCGCGGGGCAACCUGGCGGCGAGCGGCGGACGGGUGAGUAACGCGUAGGAAUCUACCCAGUAGCGGGGGAUAGCCCGGGGAAACUCGGAUUAAUACCGCAUACGCCCUAAGGGGGAAAGCAGGGGAUCGUAAGACCUUGCACUAUUGGAAGAGCCUGCGUUGGAUUAGCUAGUUGGUAGGGUAAAGGCCUACCAAGGCGACGAUCCAUAACUGGUCUGAGAGGAUGAUCAGUCAAACCGGAACUGAGACACGGUCCGGACUCCUACGGGAGGCAGCAGUGGGGAAUAUUGGACAAUGGGGGCAACCCUGAUCCAGCCAUGCCGCGUGUGUGAAGAAGGCCUUCGGGUUGUAAAGCACUUUAAGUGGGGAGAAAGGUUCGGCAGCUAAUACCUGCCGGAAGUGAUGUUACCCACAGAAUAAGCACCGGCUAACUCUGUGCCAGCCGCCGCCGUAA